AUUGAACGCUGGCGGCAUGCCUUACACAUGCAAGUCGAACGGUAACGGGCCUUCGGGUGCCGACGAGUGGCGAACGGGUGAGUAAUACAUCGGAACGUGCCCGAUCGUGGGGGAUAACGAGGCGAAAGCUUUGCUAAUACCGCAUACGAUCUACGGAUGAAAGCAGGGGACCGCAAGGCCUUGCGCGGACGGAGCGGCCGAUGGCAGAUUAGGUAGUUGGUGGGAUAAAAGCUUACCAAGCCGACGAUCUGUAGCUGGUCUGAGAGGAUGAUCAGCCACACUGGGACUGAGACACGGCCCAGACUCCUACGGGAGGCAGCAGUGGGGGAUUUUGGACAAUGGGCGCAAGCCUGAUCCAGCCAUGCCGCGUGCAGGAUGAAGGCCUUCGGGUUGUAAACUGCUUUUGUACGGAACGAAAAGCCUUCUUUUAAUACAGGAGGGUCAUGACGGUACCGUAAGAAUAAGCACCGGCUAACUACGUG
rnacentral:rRNA from 1 species